UACAGGGGGGGGCAAGCGUUGUUCGGAAUUACUGGGCGUAAAGGGUCUGUAGGUGGCCAACUAAGUCAGACGUGAAAUCCCUCAGCUUAACUGGGGAACUGCGUCUGAUACUGGAUGGCUUGAGUGUGGGAGAGGAAUGCGGAAUUCCAGGUGUAGCGGUGAAAUGCGUAGAUAUCUGGAGGAACACCGGUGGCGAAGGCGGCAUUCUGGGACCAUAACUGACACUGAGAGACGAAAGCCAGGG
rnacentral:rRNA from 1 species